rnacentral:rRNA from 1 species
AUUGCCUCAGUAACGGCGAGUGAAGCGGCAACAGCUCAAAUUUGAAAUCUGGCCGCAAGGUCCGAGUUGUAAUUUGUAGAGGAUGCUUUUGGCGAGGUGCCUUCCGAGUUCCCUGGAACGGGACGCCAUAGAGGGUGAGAGCCCCGUACGGUAGGACCACCAAGCCUCUGUAAAGCUCCUUCGACGAGUCGAGUAGUUUGGGAAUGCUGCUCUAAAUGGGAGGUGUACGUCUUCUAAAGCUAAAUACCGGCCAGAGACCGAUAGCGCACAAGUAGAGUGAUCGAAAGAUGAAAAGCACUUUGAAAAGAGGGUUAAAAAGUACGUGAAAUUGUUGAAAGGGAAGCAUUCAUGACCAGACUUGGGCUUGGUUGAACAUCCGGCGUUCUCGCCGGUGCACUCUGCCAGUCCAGGCCAGCAUCAGUUUGCCCCGGGGGAUAAAGGCGGCGGGAAUGUGGCUCCCUUCGGGGAGUGUUAUAGCCCGUCGUGUAAUGCCCUGGGGCGGACUGAGGAACGCGCUUCGGCACGGAUGCUGGCGUAAUGGUCAUCAAUGACCCGUCUUGAAACACGGACCAAGGAGUCGUCUUCGUAUGCGAGUGUUCGGGUGUCAAACCCCUACGCGUAAUGAAAGUGAACGUAGGUGAGAGCUUCGGCGCAUCACCGACCGAUCCUGAUGUUCUCGGAUGGAUUUGAGUAAGAGCAUACGGGGCCGGACCCGAAAGAAGGUGAACUAUGCCUGUAUAGGGUGAAGCCAGAGGAAACUCUGGUGGAGGCUCGCAGCGGUUCUGACGUGCAAAUCGAUCGUCAAAUAUGGGCAUGGGGGCGAAAGACUAAUCGAACCUUCUAGUAGCUGGUUUCCGCCGA